rnacentral:rRNA from 1 species
UCAAGCGAAUAAGUGCAUCUGGUGGAUGCCUUGGCGAUGAUAGGCGACGAAGGACGUGCAAGCCUGCGAAAAGCUACGGGGAGCUGGCAAUGAAGCUUUGAUCCGUAGAUGUCCGAAUGGGGAAACCCACUCAGCAAUGAGUACUCCCACCUGAACACAUAGGGUGGGUAGAGCGAACCGGGAGAACUGAAACAUCUAAGUACCCCGAGGAAAAGAAAUCAACCGAGAUUCCGUAAGUAGUGGCGAGCGAACACGGAUCAGCCUGCAUGUGAUAGCGGUAGUGUUAGGAGAAGAACCUGGAAAGGUUGGCCAUAGUGGGUGAUAGCCCCGUAUCCGAAAACACAACCGUGGUACUAAGCAUGCGACAAGUAAGGCGGGACACGUGAAAUCCUGUCCGAAGAUGGGGGGACCAUCCUCCAAGGCUAAAUACUCAUCAUCGACCGAUAGUGAACCAGUACCGUGAGGGAAAGGCGAAAAGAACCCCGGAAGGGGAGUGAAAUAGAUCCUGAAACCGGAUGCAUACAAACAGUGGGAGCGGACUUGUUCCGUGACUGCGUACCUUUUGUAUAAUGGGUCAGCGACUUACGUUCAGUAGCAAGCUUAACCGAAUAGGGGAGGCGUAGGGAAACCGAGUCCGAAUAGGGCGUUCAGUUGCUGGGCGUAGACCCGAAACCAAGUGAUCUAUCCAUGGCCAGGUUGAAGGUGCGGUAACACGCACUGGAGGACCGAACCCACUAAUGUUGCAAAAUUAGGGGAUGAGCUGUGGAUAGGGGUGAAAGGCUAAACAAACUUGGAAAUAGCUGGUUCUCUCCGAAAACUAUUUAGGUAGUGCCUCAAGUAUUACCGUCGGGGGUAGAGCACUGUUUAGGCUAGGGGGUCAUGGCGACUUACCAAACCUAUGCAAACUCCGAAUACCGACGAGUACAGCUUGGGAGACAGAGCACCGGGUGCUAACGUCCGGACUCAAGAGGGAAACAACCCAGACCGCCAGCUAAGGUCCCUAAAAUUGGCUAAGUGGGAAACGAAGUGGGAAGGCUAAAACAGUCAGGAUGUUGGCUUAGAAGCAGCCAUCAUUUAAAGAAAGCGUAAUAGCUCACUGAUCGAGUCGUCCUGCGCGGAAGAUGUAACGGGGCUAAGCCAGUUACCGAAGCUGCGGAUUUGCAAUUUAUUGCAAGUGGUAGGAGAGCGUUCUGUAAGCCUGUGAAGGUGCGUUGUAAAGCGUGCUGGAGGUAUCAGAAGUGCGAAUGCUGACAUGAGUAGCGUUAAAGGGGGUGAAAAGCCCCCUCGCCGUAAGCGCAAGGUUUUCUACGCAACGUUCAUCGGCGUAGAGUGAGUCGGCCCCUAAGGCGAGGCAGAGAUGCGUAGCUGAUGGGAAACAGGUCAAUAUUCCUGUACCGAUGUGUAGUGCGAUGUGGGGACGGAGAAGGUUAGCUCAGCCAACUGUUGGAUAUGUUGGUUCAAGCCUGUAGUCGUGCCUGGUAGGUAAAUCCGCCGGGCUUAGAUGAGGGGUGAUAACGAGGCUGCUUGCAGCCGAAGUGAGUGAUACCCUGCUUCCAGGAAAAGCCACUAAGCUUCAGCUACACACGACCGUACCGCAAACCGACACUGGUGCGCGAGAUGAGUAUUCUAAGGCGCUUGAGAGAACUCAGGAGAAGGAACUCGGCAAAUUGACACCGUAACUUCGGAAGAAGGUGUGCCUUUAGUAGGUGAAGGGAUUUACUCCUGGAGCCCAAUGAGGUUGCAAAAAAUCGGUGGCUGCGACUGUUUAUUAAAAACACAGCACUCUGCAAACACGAAAGUGGACGUAUAGGGUGUGACGCCUGCCCGGUGCUGGAAGAUUAAAUGAUGGGGUGCAAGCUCUUGAUUGAAGUCCCAGUAAACGGCGGCCGUAACUAUAACGGUCCUAAGGUAGCGAAAUUCCUUGUCGGGUAAGUUCCGACCUGCACGA